rnacentral:rRNA from 1 species
CAGCCGUAAACAAUGUGCGUUAGGUGUGUCGGUAACCACGCGUUACUGAUGCGCCGAAGAGAAAUCGUGAAACGCACCACCUGGGAAGUACGGUCGCAAGGCUGAAACUUAAAGGAAUCGGCGGGGGAGCACCACAACAGGUGGAGCCUGCGGUUUAAUUGGAUUCAACGCCGGACAUCUCACCGGAUAAGACAGCUGAAUGAUUGUCAAUCUGAAGGUUUUACAUGACUAGCUGAGAGGAGGUGCAUGGCGUCAGUGACU